GGGCAGGGUAGGGCAGGCGGGACGGGCCCGGCUCCGCGCCGCAGGCCUGGGGGAGUCGCGGACGGUCAGACCCCGAGGCGAGUCGCCGGAGCUGGGCCGGCGGGGAUCGCGCGCAAGUGGGUCCCGGGGCGGAGGAGGCCGCAGGACCGCUCGGCUGAGACGCACAGUAGAGCAGCAGUGAUGUUGUAGCUGUCUCAAACAACCCCACAAUUUCUCAAAGCUCAUCAUCAGAAGCAAGCUCCCCACAGACCAGGAAGCACCAACUGAAAGCAGUGCCAGAUCCUGCCAGAACAACAGGGUAUGCAGGCGGGAAUCUGUUUGCUCUGCCCUGGCCAUCAGAGGGGAGAUCUUGUAUGGUGUGUUGCACCUCAGGCAGAAGACCCGAAGACUGGAGCCAGGCGUUUUGACGCAUGGCGAUGCCGGAUGCCAGAGUGCAUGCAGCCGUGUCCGCAGCAUCAAGGGAACCCUGAAGGGAGGUUUGAGCUACCAACUUGCCCUCCUCGGCAAUGGCCCCCAGUUCCGUACGAGCCUCAGCUGGGAGAAAGUCUUGGAACUUACGGACCGCAGACCACGAGUUGAAAUUGUAUCUACUGAGGAUCGCAAGCUGGUUCGUGAUCCAUAGCAAAAGGCCACCAGUAGAAUAAACUUUUCUUCCGAAAAGGUCCAGCCACUUGGCGUUCUUUGAUUUGGGCGAGGUGGGUGAAAAGGUAUUUGUAUCCCCUGGUGGGGACAAAGUAUUUUCUUUCCACCUCCUUGGCUGUGGGGGGGAUGGAGGCUGGAGUUUGCCAGAGAGCUUUGUCAUUGGUUUGAAUGGUUUUGUUCAUGGGGAGAGCCACCCUGGAAGGCCCUUCUGGGCCUAAGAUGUCCACCAUAGGAUUCUCCUCCUCCACAACCUCCUCAACUUGGAGGUUCAUAUUUAGGGCUACGCGCCUAAGUAGAUCUUGCAGGACUCUAAAGUCCAUUGGAGGGGGGCCAGACGUGGACGUGCCAGCCACGGCCUUGUCAGGGGAGGACGAGGAAGAUGCCACCGGGAGAGCCAGAUCGGAAGUGGCCCCUUGGUCUGCUGUGGCUAGAUCUUCCUGGGUGCCUGGGGUAGUCCCUACCACAGGUGCUGACUCCACAGGUUGCUCCGGGUCUGGAGGAGGGCGGUUGAGGGUCGCCUCAGGAGGCCGGGCGUCUGAUAGUGUCGACGGGUAGGCAACGAGAGGGGCGCCCUGGGCCUGAUUAUAUGCCCAGGGGUCCAAAAUUGCCACUGGGGUUGCCAGUGGGGCGCUGAGGGGUCAUGACCAAGGCUUCCUGGGCCCGACUGGGGAAUGUCCGAAGCCCCUGACCCUCUACCCGAUCUACUGGAAGGGGAUUGGGAGUGUGACGGCCAAGGGGGAGCGGUGCACGAAUGGAGCGAGGGGGGCACCAAGUCCCUUGAUGGACGAGGGUCAUACGGUGAUCGGCGUUGUAAUGCUGGCCGUGACCGUAACUGGUGCCAUGUUGAAGAGUGGUGCCGCUCCGGGGACCGGUGCCACUCAGGGGACCGGUGCUGUGAAGAGGAUUGGCGACACAUCAUGGCUUGGUGCCGCGGUGACAGCUGGCAUGGGGAUUGGUGCCCCGAACGGUGUCGUGAGGUUGCUGAGCGUGAUCUGGACCUCGAGUGGGACCAUGUUCUGGCAGUCGACGGUGACCUCAGGCGUGAACAGCUCUGAAGGUCGGGGCUGCAGGACCAGCGCCGCGAGUCUAACCGGUGUUGUGAGUCAGACCAGUACGUGGAGCGGUGCCUAGACUCUGAAUGACGCCGGGACUCAGAGCGGUGUGGAGAUGCUGGUCCAAAGAGAUUGCCGGUUUGCCCUAGCCAGUACCGGGACUUGUGCCGGAGCCGGUGCUUGAAUUGGGAACACUGGUGCUGUCAUUUCGAUGAGCCCUUUGGCGGCCUCGAAGGUAUCUGCAGUCGAAGGCAAUGUAACAUCUUCCACUUGUAAAGUCCCUUGUGGCGCGGGACUAGCAUGAGCAGACCGGGGCCUAGCGGCUUUGUCAGGAUUAGAGGCCUGGUCCAAAGUUUGCUUGGUCGGGGCCGCAGUGACCACUUCUGGCCUAAUGGAGGGUCCUCCCAAAGCUUGCUUUUUUCGAGCAACUGGGGAGUGAGAGCAGUGCAGGAGUGGACGCCUUUGGGGCCCAGGAGAUCGUUGGUCCUGAGGCAGGUGCAGGAUCUUUUGCGGUGCCAUGGCCGGUACCAAUAGGGGAGCACUGCGCACCAAGGAGCUUGGUGCCACAUCUUGGGAGGGACGCAAUGCGGACUCCAUGAGGAGUUGCUUGAGGCGGCUUUCCCUCUCUUUUCUUGUUCGGCACUUGAACGCUUUGCAGAUCUUGCACUUGUCAGCCUGAUGGCCCUCCCCCAGACACCUAAGGCAGGAGUCAUGGGGAUCGCCCGUGGGCAUGGGCUUGUUACAAGAACUGCAGGGUUUGAAGCCCUGGGACGGCAUGCCCCAGAGCCCCGCAGGGCAGUCACUGAAGGGCGGAACUGCCCCCUACUAAACUACACUUAACACUACAAUAACCACUAAACUACACUUAACACUAAGAUAACUAUCAACAAUUAACUAUCACAGGUAACCACGAAGAUAAGAGAAAGCUAGGGAUUAGCGGAACACUUGAUAAACAAGAGACCACUGUUCCAACAACCGUCACGGGCAGUAAGAAGGAACUGAAGGGGGGUCGGGCCGGCAGGGUCUUAUAUAGAGCACCAUAUCGGCGCCACUCCAGGGGACUCCCCAGCCGGCCCAACGGGUAGCUGCUAGGGAAAAAGUUUCCGACAUCCGUGCAUGAGGCACGCGCACGCACCUAACUGGAAUUGAUAUGAGCAAGCACUCGAAGAAGAACAAAAGAAAUCCAAUCAAUGGCACGGGCCCAUUACUAAAUGGAGAUGACAAAAUUGUUAAUGAUGCAGGCAAGGAUAAAUGUUCAAUAAAUAUUCCUGUUCUGUAUUUGGAAAGAAACAGGAUGAUGUAAUGAUGAUGAUGAUGAAGUACUUUCCAAUCCAUUAGUAACUAAGGAGGAUGUUAAAUAUCCUCUAAAAGGGAUAUACAUUUUUUGAUCAGCAGGCCUGGAUAACUUGCAUGUAAGAAUCCUAAAAGGGUUGGCUGAGAUCUCUGGCACAUUAAGGUUAUUUUUUAAUAACUCUCAGAAUACCAGGGAAAUUCUAGAAGAUUGGAAUGCCAAUGUCAUGCCAAUAUUCAAGAAGGGGAAGUGGGAUGUGUGACAGUUUGUACCAUUAUAUUCACCCCUUUUACAAAACUAUGAUAAAUUUUGUACAAAGUAUGUCCUGUGAGGUAUCAUUUGAAGACUCAUAAUUUGCUGAUCAUUACUGUCCUGGCAAAAUAUGUGUGGCAACAAUUUAUAAGAUUCUACUGUACAGGAAGUCCUCGACUUUAUGACAUUUGAGUUACGACGAAUGGCACUUACGUUUAUAAAUUGUCAUUGUGUUUCGACUUUAAGAUGUUGGGUUCAACUUUACGACACUCGAUCCAACAUUGAUCCUAUGGGAAAUUCACGUUACGACGUUUUCAACUUAAGAUGAGAUUUUCAGGAACUAGUUGUAUCGUAAGUCUGAGGACUGCCUGUAUAAUGUUAAGACAUUCCAAAUCUGGGGAAGCAGGUACAAACUAGUUCCUCAGAGACAAAAGGCAAACUGAUGCCUCAGUCAGGUGUCAAUGAAAUCAAAUGGACUAUCACCUGGUUGAGUGGCCAUUCUUUGGCAGGAAAAAGGGUGUAAGUGAGAAACUGACAUCUUGGCAAAGGAACAGCUGGAGGUUCCAGUCCCCACAGACUUCCUGUCUUCCUGCACCCCAGCUGGAGAUGAUUCUCAAAGAAUAGGAAAAGAUACCAGAAUGGGGAACAGAUGCUCCCUUUCUCUCUACCCAUGGCAGCUGCAACACCUGAGAAACAAAUAAACUGCUUUGUACUGAGGAAGUCAGCCAGUAAGACUGCUGAAGCAUGUGGCGAGAGAGACUUUUGCUUUCAAUUCACUUAGCUUGUUAAAUUGGGUAUUAGUUGCAUUUUACCUUUUAUUUCUUUGUCACCAGUUCUGACUUUU